UACGUAGGGGGCAAGCGUUGUCCGGAAUCAUUGGGCGUAAAGGGCUCGUAGGCGGUCUGUUGCGUCGGGAGUGAAAACUCAGGGCUUAACCCUGAGCCUGCUUCCGAUACGGGCAGACUAGAGGUAUGCAGGGGAGAACGGAAUUCCUGGUGUAGCGGUGAAAUGCGCAGAUAUCGAGGAAGAACACCAAUGGCGAAAGCAGCUCUCUGGGACGGUACUGA
rnacentral:rRNA from 1 species